rnacentral:pre_miRNA from 1 species
GCAGAAUUCUUUCUGCAAGAUGUUCCUGAAUAUGUAAUGCAAGUGUAUUGGGAGCAUGUUACAUCCAUAGUUUUGUGUC